CAGGCGCCCCAUAGAAGUUUAUACAUAUAGUAUACGUUAAAUCCUGUGAAUGAUGCCCCAAGAAUAAACAAGUUUUGGGAGUAAAAUGAGUUCCUAAAUUGGUAAUUUCAACAUUUGAUUCUGUGCAGUGCCUUUAACCUUGCUAGGAGAUUAGAACUUUACUGUGUUCAAGUACCACUCAAUAAUAUUCACUGGCAUUUUCAGUGUUUGAAUAUACUCUAUCAGUUACAGUUCUUUGUAAAUAAUACUAAACUUCAUAAUUUUUAGGUAUUAAACAAUUUUUGAUAUUCAUAAUAGCAAGUAAAAAGUAUGCAAAAUGUUGAAAGUAUCUUAAGAAACAUAAAGAAAAUCACUUAGCUCAUCAUCUGUUUUAGAUCAGAAUAAAACACUCAUUUAUUAUUAUAUCCUUUUUUAACAGAACAGUUCUGAAACUUUUAGUGUAACCCUAUCCAUGAAUGAUUCAUGUUUAUUAUUAUGGGCACUCAUUACUAUCACAUAAAGAAAAUCUUAUGAAAAAUAUAGUAAUAACUUAUGAUUUUGAGAAUUCUCAAGAAUUUGCAGGGGUUCCGAAGUUUCAUUCCCAAAUCCCAAAGAUUCGUGUUUAUCAAGAAUUUGGAAAUACUAUUCUAUUCUCACACUUAGUUGAAGUGAGAGAGAUGCCUUUACACUCAGCAGAUGGAUUGAGCAGCUGGACCUCCAGGGGGCAGUUUGGGAAUCCCAAUGGUAACAACUCUUUUCAAUACGAAGUAAUGUUUUUAACUCUAGUGAUACGAAUAUGGGGAGUUGAAGUACUAUUAUGCUCUGUGAGGAUCAGAUAAAAUUUAAAUGAUGGAUCUAAAGUUAAAUUGCCAAGGUAUUUGUCAGGAUUCUCACACAUAGGAACGUAGAUUAUAACCCCAGGCAAUAACUUUGAAUAUUUGACUAUUACUCAAAGUGGGUUGAUUUCUAAGGCUGAUGUGAGUUGCUAUGAAAUAUACCAGUUGACUUAAAAGAGGUUCCAGUUAUACCAAGUGCUUCUCUUAGGACAACAGGGACUCUAUGCUAUCGAUGUCCUGAGGAACCAUUUCUGUUCAGACUCUGUUCUGGAUCCGGCUCAACUGAUGUGACAUUGUGUGACUGGCUGGGUACGGGACAGCUUUCGUGCCUGCAUUUAAUAGCUCAUGAAUUAUUUUAAGACUGAAAGCCCUCAGAAAUAAGAAGCAGCUUUCAGUGGCAUGGACAUCCUUCAGUCUCCACCUAUGUUGUAUAUUAAUUAUGUGAUCAGCAAUGCAUCAGGCUUGAGUGGAAGUCUAUGAAAAGACCAAGAGAAGGAUGACCUGGAAAGUCAGGUGCUUAUCAUUAUGUGAAAUAAGAUAAAGAUGAGAGUGAGGCCUUCCCACGUUGAGGCCGGUGGGGUGGAAUGGAAAUGAGGGGAUCCGAGCUCUAACCUUGGUUCUAUGUGCCAUUGGAUAAGUCAUUUGUUCUCUCUGGCUAAGAAGGUCUUUUUCGUAAAAUAAGAAAGCAAGCUGGAUGAUCUUUGUGAUUAACCGUAUCAGCAAACGAGUUUCAUUUUCACUGUCAGUGCCUUGGUUGAGGUCCUUAUUAACCCCAGUCUGACUAUUCCAAAUAUCGCCUGGGUUCCAGUUUCACAUUUGUCCACCCUGUUUUCCACAUUCUUGUUAGAGAUCUACCAAAAACACAGGUCUGAUCAUUUCAGCGCUCUCUUUACAACUCCACGGUGGUUUCCGAUUUCCUAUAAAACGAAGCAAAUUUAUUUUUUGUGGCAUUUAAAGCUCUUUAUGAUUUGGUUCCAUUUAUAUCUUCAGCCUCAUUGCUCUUUAUCCCUCAGAAUAUAUCCAUGGUUACACCUUACCCAUCUACUAAAAAGAUGAAAAUUUGUGAAACUGAAAGAUUUUGCUCUGGUCCUACUCUUUAUUUUGACCUGUAUAUAUUUAUGCUAGCUAUUACACCUGAACGAAAGGCCUUUCCUCACAAUCUGCACCUAGUGCUCUUCCUUUCAUUCUGCAAAAUUCAAAUGAAGUAUUUUCUGAUUCCCCUUCACGAGAAGAGUUGACUGUCUCUGACUUCAUGAAACCAUGGUAUCUAGCCCAUACUUCUAUGUGAUCGUAAUUAUACUGCAUUAAAACUUUUUAUUCAUCAUUUUUUCUUACAAUCAUCAAAUCUUAUUUUUCCGUAUUUAUUUUCUUGUCUAUCUCGUGGUUGCUACCUAAUAGAUUCUCAGUACAUGUUGGCUUACUGGAACUAGCAUUAAUGGGUAUCAGCUCCUUAAGGGUAGGGGCCAUAAUUAUCUUCUUCACCAUUAUAUACUCAGCAUUAAACAUAAUGUCUGAAACAAAAUAGAUGUUUAUUGAAUAUCUGUUAGGUGAAAUAUUCACAGGUUAAUAAAUGUAUUAAUGGUUUUUUGUUUGAAGAUAUCAACCCAAGUUCACCUCAGCUAUAGUUAGAGUCACUGUUGUCCUAUGGAAGUUUUUAUUUGGUAGAUAAUGUUAAUGUGAUGGGAAUGGUCAUUGAUUUUGGAAUAUACUAUUAAGUGAAGUUAAACGAGGAGAAAAUUAAAAACAAAUUCUUCUUUUAAGCUAUGCAUAUUUGGAAAGUAGACUUCGAAACUGUUCCUUUUAUACCUCUCAUUAUGUACUACACUCGUGGCCAGAAAGAUUCUAAUCCUUUUUCCGCAGGUAUAUCCUUCAUCCCCUGUUCCUUGUGCCACCAGUGAUUACCUGUGUAGUCUUGAUCAGUUUCCUCGUUUUAAAGAUAGACAUACUAAUUCUUAUUGCAUUUAUAGGGAUGAUGGAAGGCCAACUUGUAGGAAGGUGGUUUGCUAUCUGUAAAGCUCCAUACAAAGGAAAGAAAUUAUUCUUUCCAUAUAUGUCCCUAAUUCUAAAGUUACUCUUCGUGUCUAAAUCAAGUCCUCUUUCUUAAUCUUUAAUGCUAUUCUCAGAAGGUCUGGUCCUGUGGAAAUGAAGAUUAACCAUUCAUUUCCCUUUUUUUUUUCCUUUCUUUUCUUUAUUUUUAAUGUAACUGAUUGCCAAGUUGGUUAACAUACAGUGUAUACAGUGUGCUCUUGGUUUUGGGGGUAGAUUCCCGUGAUUCACCGCGUAUAUACAACACUCAGUGCUCAUUCCAGCAAGUGCCCUCCAAUGCCCAUCACUUCUAUUUGGUGAGGAGGUAUAUAUAUUCUAUUUAAUAUAACGCAAGUUAUUCAACACCUUCAAUUUCCUUUUCCACAUGUAUUAGUCAGCUUUGACUGCCAUAACAAAACACCAUAAGUUUCAUGGAUUAAACAACAGAAAUUUAUUUCUCAUAGGUCUAAAGGCUGAGUAACUCAAGAUUAAGACGCUGGCUGAGUCAGUUUCUGCUAAGAGCUCUCCUCCUGGCUUGCAGACAGCCACCUCCUUGCUGUGCCCUCACAUGGCAUGGAUACAGUUUUCUGGUGUCUAAGAGUAUGAAUUGUAUUGGGUCAAGGCCCAACCUUUAUGACCUCAUUUAACUUUAAUUACGUCUAUAAAGGUGCUAUCUCAAAUACUGUCACAUGGGGGUUAGGGCUCCAGCAUCUAAAUUGGGGAGAGUCAUGGUUCAGUCCUUAGCACCAUACUGAAUAACAGCUAUGGAAUUUUUUCCAUUUUGUGUCACCAGAUUUUUAAUUAAUGCCUAUGCUUCAUCCUGGUUAUAUGUACUUUAGUGAACUGGCAGAAUAUGUGUAUAGAUGUCAUCCUUGCAGUAGGAAACAUUCUGCCCUGGCCAUCAGAAAGUGUUUUCCUGGAAUGUGCUGUUCCUCUUUUGCUGCCAACUCUAAUGUUGAAGGUCAGAGGGUAACAGAUGAAAUCUAGAGAAUGCAAUCAACCAAUUCCCAACUUCUAAGUGGUGCCGAAGUGUUUUUAUUUCCUCCUGUGACUGAAUAGUGUCUCUUUGUUCCUCUUCACUGCUUGAUUCCCCACCUGAUUGUAGAACCACUUGGAAUUGAACUUACUUGCUUCAGGGGGACUUCAGUGUUGCCGUUACCCCCAUCAAAACCAGAAACUUUGGGAAAGCAGGUCAAAGGUAGACAGUUUGAAAAGUACCUCCACUGUCUCUGUUCCACACGGAGAGCACAUUACCACCUUUCCUCCCUGGCUGUGUUAUCUCAUUGCCACUCCAGAUCCAUUAUCUGCUCUUCUCUUCCCUGCCAUGUUCUAUGUCCUAAGAUUCUAAUAUCUCUGCAUCUCAUACACAAGCUGCUUUGUUUUUCAGCUUCCGGUUGAGUUUGACCAGUAGGAGGCAUUGGUGGGAGAAUGACAGUGUGGGAAAAAGGAAAGAUCAGCGUAUUUUUUCCUCCUCAUACUUGAUCUGGGAGGUAGUUUUAAUAUUGGCUGCAUUCUUCUACAUGAGAUAAUGGUUCCUUCUGGUGGCUCCUGUCCCAUAAUUAUAGCUUUCAAUGGUUUGAGAGAAUAUUGUAUCCUGCUUUGGACCAUUCAGAACUAAAGGUGAAAAUGGCUUAGCACUAUUGCUAGUUUCUAGGUGCUUCCCUGUCGCUUUUUAGUUCCCCUAACCCUGCCCAUAUCUCUGUAAAUGGUUCCUUUACUAAACGCUUUUUAAUUGCCUCCUUUGAAUAUGACAUUUGUUUCCUUCAAGGGUCAUGACUGAUCAAUGUAGAAACACUUAUACAGAGAAUCUAUCUCCUGUUAUAGCAACAAUUCCCAUGAAAGGGCCAGUCCACUAGUAUCUUUUUGUUUUCAUGGGAGUUUAUCUCAGGACUUGAUUGGUUUUCCCUAAAAUUUGAUUGAGGAUUUUCUGGGCCACCCUGGAAGUUUUAAAUAAUUUUGAAUCUCAUUCAAAUGAUUUGGGAGAAGGAAUUUGCCUCUAUGCUUUACCUUUCAGCUGACCCCUAUGCUUCUCACACACAUUAGCCUACCCCUUCCAAUAAUUUUUAGGCUGUGUCAAUUAUUUAACAGAUUAAAGAUAAAUAGAUAUCAGGGAAAUGCAAAUCAAAAUCACAGUGAAAUACCAUUUCACACCUAUAAGAUAACUGUAAUCAAUAAGACAGAUAAUAAAAAAAAUAUUGGCGAGGCAGUGGAGAAAUUGGAAUCUUAUGCACCAUGGUGCGAAUGUAAAGUAGUAUAGUCACUUUGGAAAACAGGCUGCAGUUUCUCCAAAAGUUAAAUAUAGUUUUACCAUAUGACCCAGCAAUUCCAUGUCUAUGUGUAUAUUCAAGAGAAAUGAAAACCUAUGCCCCCAAACUUGUACACAACUGUUCAUAUCAACAUUAUUUAUAGUAGCCAAAAAAGUGGAAACAACCCAAAUUUCCAUCAACUGGUGAAUGGAUAUAUGGUACAGAAUAGUAUUUGUUAUAAAAAGAAACAGAUUAUUGUUACAUGCCACAGCAAGAAUGACCCUUGAAAACGUUAUGUUAGGUGAAAGAGGACAGUCACCAAGGCCACAUUUGUAUGAUUCCAUUUACAUGAAAUAUGAAGAACAGGCAAAUCUAUAGAAACAGAAAGUAGAUUAGUGGUUGUCUUGGGCUGGAAGGGAAGGGUUGGAGGUAAAUGGGGAGUCAUUGCUAGUGGAAACCAUGUUGCUUUUUGCCAUGAUGAAAACAUUUUUUUUUAAUUUUUUUUUUAACGUUUAUUUAUUUUUGAGACAGAGAGAGACAGAGCAUGAACGGGGGAGGGGCAGAGAGAGAGGGAGACACAGAACCGGAAGCAGGCUCCAGGCUCCGAGCCAUCAGCCCAGAGCCCAACGCGGGGCUCAAACUCACAGACCGCGAGAUCGUGACCUGAGCUGAAGUCGGACGCUUAACCGACUGAGCCACCCAGGCGCCCCAUGAAAACAUUUUUAAA